rnacentral:rRNA from 1 species
UACGUAGGGGGCAAGCGUUGUUCGGAAUUACUGGGCGUAAAGGGCGCGUAGGCGGCACGGCAAGUCGGGAGUGAAAGGCCUGGGCUCAACCGAGGAACUGCUUUCGAGACUGCCGAGCUAGAGUGCGGAAGGGGCAACCGGAAUUCCCAGUGUAGCGGUGAAAUGCGUAGAUAUUGGGAAGAACACCUGAGGCGAAGGCGGGUUGCUGGGCCGACACUGACGCCGAGGCGCGAAAGCCAGGGGAGCAAACGGG